AUCUGGUGGUGUGGACAACUAGAACAUAAAUUCUUGAAUCUUUCCCAAUAUUCGUAGAGAUUCUCCCCAUACUGUUGUUUGAUGCUAGAGAUCUCCUUUCUUAUGGC